rnacentral:lncRNA from 1 species
UUUCCCCUGUACCGCGGACAGAGUCUCCCCUGUACAUUCAAGGCGUCGCAAUCAAUACAAUGUACGAAGUUCCAACCAGAAACACAUUUCAAUCAAAGAUUGCAUAAGGAAGUAUCAAAAACAUAAUUACAACUAAGUUUAUUACAAUCAUUCAACUCACAUUCACUAGAUACAUUUUACAUCACAAAUACAUAUUACUUACAUUUGCUUUCACUUAACUUCCAAAUACAAUCCGAUUUUAACAUGGUUAUUACAACUUAAUUCUUUUUAUUCUUUACAUCCCU